UACGUAGGGGGCAAGCGUUGUCCGGAUUUACUGGGCGUAAAGAGCGCGUAGGCGGAAGCUUAAGUGUGGCCUGAAAGCCCCCGGCUCAACCGGGGAAGGUGGCUGCAAACUGGGCUUCUUGAGGGCGAUAGAGGAGGGUGGAAUUCCUGGUGUAGCGGUGAAAUGCGUAGAUAUCAGGAGGAACACCGGUGGCGAAGGCGGCCCUCUGGGUCGACCCUGACGCUGAGGCGCGAAAGCGUGGGGAGCAAACAGG
rnacentral:rRNA from 1 species